UCCUACGGGGCGCAGCAGUGGGGAAUAUUGCACAAUGGGGGGAACCCUGAUGCAGCGACGCCGCGUGGGUGAAGGAGCACCUCGGUGCGUAAAGCCCUAUCGGCAGGGAAGAAACAGACGGUACCUGACUAAGAAGCCCCGGCUAACUACGUGCCAGCAGCCGCGGUAGUACGUAGGGGGCAAGCGUUAUCCGGAUUUACUGGGUGUAAAGGGAGCGUAGACGGCUGUGCAAGUCUGAAGUGAAAGCCUGUGGCUCAACCGCGGAACUGCUUUGGAAACUGUAUAGCUUGAGUACUGGAGAGGCG
rnacentral:rRNA from 1 species